CGCCGCCCCCAUCUUCUUCCUUCUCCCAGAUCCACUCCUUUCCGUCCGCCGCACACCCACCGCUCCGACGUUCUCUCGUUCCUCGACCCAGUCCCCACCUCCCCAUCCUCUCCCGUCCUUCCUCCACCCACACCUAGUGGCAACUAUCCCCUCCCCCUCCGCCCUGUCUUCACGUCGCAUCCGCAGCAUGCGCUGCUGAUCUGCUGAGUUUGACGGCGGCAGCAGCCCGAGUGAUGAGAUCCGCGUCUUGGGCGCGCGCAGAUCCAGCAUGGGCUCAUCCCCCGAUGUUGGCCUGGUCGGAGCAGAGAAACCUUGCGGUGGCCGGUUUAGGACAAUGGCUCGCAGGAGGCCGUAGUGUACCCUAGCCACCGCUGGAUUCCGGUGUGGCUCCCGCCCCUUCUGUUGCCAUCCUCGACACCAUGGCCUCAUGAUGCUGCUUCGACCACAGGGUACCCAGUAAAGACAGAAGGCACAUGUUCGUCAACCGGCUGCACUGUGCUAUGUCUAGGUGGUGUUGUAGCAGCCGUACUGCUGCAUGGCGCACAAUAGAGCUCCAGAGGGUGGACACGAUAACUGUUGGUGGAGCUGCUCCGGAUCAACCAGGGGUAUGAUUGGGUAGCAGGCUUCUUGGUGCUGGCCAACACAAUCCGCCAUGACAUGAUACUUACCAUCAGGAGGGGCGACGACAAGAACCUGUAUAGCAGCCUCAAUAGUAUCAUAUUUCUGUUGUUGUAAUUGGAUUGUACUGGUUCCUAGCGUUGAUGUGUGAUAUAUUUUGUCAAUAUAUUCUGUAAAUUACCAUUUCAUGGAGGAUUUUGUAAACUGAUGUGGUGUAGAUACCAAUAGA